CAAAAAGUGAACCUCGAGACAACCAAAUUUUCUGAAACAAGGUGGAGUGUACUUCACGUCGAGAGUUGGGCAUGGAAGUGGACCGCAAGUACAAAGCAAGUGAAUUACAUCUAAUAAGAAGUGAGCUGCUUUGAGAUGUUCUUGUUUGUGUUUGCCAAGUGGGUCACGGAAAAGUUAUAUAGCAAACAUCGCAGAAGAACAAAUUGAGCUACAAAGCAUACACAACUACUGAUAGUUUUACACGGCCACUCACCAAUACAAUAUCUGUACUCUCCACCGGCCGAACCGCACAAAAUUGUACGGGGUACACUUUCACUAAGACAAAACUAACUAUCCUGGUGAUGACGUGCAGUUUUUACAAAGAACUAAUGAAGUGCAGUUUUCAGCACAACAAAAUUGAGGAACCGGCCAUCCAACCGUACUGCAUCACUUCACCUUUUCCUGCAAAAAUAAGUAAAAUGAACCUCAAUAGCAAACCACAUCGGACUUACAUUUACACUUUUUUUCUUUUCAGAAAAGCACAAAAAUCAAGGAAGUGCAGAAGAGCACUAUGUGUCUCCUGACGCUCUACUCACCAUGCUUGCAGUAGGCCGUGGGGAAGGGAGAUGCAGUGGGGAGAGGAAGGCCAUGGGAACCUCCAUACCGGUCCAGCGAGCUGCUCAUGAUGCGCCCGCGAGCUGCACCCCAAGCGAGUGAAAUACGAAAUGGU
rnacentral:lncRNA from 1 species